CCUACGGGCGGCAGCAGUGGGGAAUAUUGGGCAAUGGCGGAAACUCUGACCCAGCAACGCCGCGUGAAUGAUGAAGGUCUUCGGAUUGUAAAGCUCUUUUUUAAGGGAAGCAGAAAGUGACGGUACCUUAGGAAUAAGCCUCGGCUAACUACGUGCCAGCAGCAGCGGGAAUCCGGAGGAGGCAAUCGUUAUCCGGAAUGACUUGGCUUAAAGGUUGCGUAGGUUGUUUGAUAAGUUAGUAGCGUAACUCCGGGGCUCAACCUCGGCACUACUACCGAAACUGUCGGACUUGAGUGCAGGAGGGGCAAGUGGAAUGCGUAGUGUAGCGGUGGAAUGCGUAGAUAUUAGGAGGAACACCAGUGGCGAAGGCGAGUUGCUGGACUGUAACUGACACUGAGGCACGAAAGCGUGGGUAGCAAACAGGAUUAGAUACCCGGGUAGUC
rnacentral:rRNA from 1 species